rnacentral:lncRNA from 1 species
CGAACUGCUGCCGGGAGCUUAGUGCUUGGGAGUGCUGUGAGAGGCUUCCCCGCCCUUUGGUCUUGUUUGUUUGUUUGUUUUAACUUUGGUUUGAGGGAAUUCGGGAACUUAGGGGCAGCGAUAGUUAUUAGACUCCUGGCGGCCAGAUUGGUACAUGACAGAAGUGUUCCUUCCACAGCCUCGAAGAGGGGGUGUCUGGCUGUUUGCCUGCUUCCGUGAUUCCUUGCUUAAGUGUACUUCAGAUAACACCAGAUAAUCAACCAUCAGGAUGGGAGUGAAUGACCUGUGGCAAAUUUUGGAGCCUGUAAAGCAACAUAUCCACUUGCAGGAUCUUUGUGGGAAGACCAUUGCCG